GCAGAAAAUACUAUCCCGACAUUGGUAUAGUAUGGAAGUUGUCAAAGUUCUUCACAUGAAUGGAGGAAUUGGAGAAGCUAGCUAUGCCAAAAAUUCUUUGAUUACGGUAUAAUAUAAUUACACAAAUUCUUAUUUCCGCGUAGAUGUUAUAAACUCUAAAUUAUAAUUUCUUUAUUCCAUAUCACAGCCACACAAUUACUAGUACUUGUUUAAACAGUAGGUUUCAAAACUUUUUUUAACCAAACAAAUAUUAUAUUAUAUUUAAGACCUAUUGAUUUAUAAAGUUUAUAGCAACACAAAUAAAAAUUUAAUAUUCUUACUCUCUAUUAAAUUUUGCGUCAAAUCAAACUACGACAAACAAAUUGAAACCAAAAUAUUUUUCGAAAUUUAUUAUCCUUCGUACCAAACACAUCCGUAGUUAGAGGCGGACACAUAUGUUAAGUUAAGGGGUCACCAGCAUCGGAAACUUUGACAAAAACUCCAUACAUACAAAUGUUUUCAAAGAAUUGUCAGAUAUUAUGAUAGACCCUUAUACCAAUUAUUAUGAGCAGUUAUAAAUUUGUAUUAAAUAUCAUGAUGUCCUAGCAAUCACGGAAUCUUAGGCUAGCCUCUGCCCGUAGGGUACAACAUUUACUCAUUUGGCUCGUGAGGACGAUGAUGGAAAUUCACACGAUAAAUUUGGUUUCACCCAUCUAUAAAUAUCCUAUUGGGAUUUUUAUAUAUACAUACCAUAUAGCAAAUCUUAUUACCACCCAUGUUUAAGAUUUGUGUUUAUUACAUUUAAGUAUACCACCUUUCAAUUUAUGUACCACAAUUAUAUUUAAGGUUUAAAUAUCAACUUAUUAAUUAUAGCCUUGAUUUGUGGAACUGAAAAUCUUUUCAGAUUUUAUUCUACACGUUUUUCUCUCUCUAUUUGAUGUGGAAGAAUGACUGAUUUUCGAAACUAAAAUUUGGAGAAAUUCACGCUGGUUAAGAGAAUUUACCGUUUUUUACAAACAAACCCCAUGAUUUUCUCCCCUUUUUUAGUUAUCCUCCCCCACGUUUGUUUACCAAAACAGAUUUCUCUCUCUCUCUCCUCUAAUUUCAUCUGCCAUUGUCUAAGGUUGCACUGUUUCAUAUCAAGAAUUUCAUCCGCUAUAUUUUUAGUCCUACUGUUGUAACAAAUUCCGAAACCCUCUAUAAAAUCAUUUUCUCUCUAUCUUGGCAUAUGCUGUUGUUGAUUCUGAAAAGAAGAAGUAGACUAUACUGUUCAUAUUUGGUAGUUGGAUUGUAAAAC
rnacentral:lncRNA from 1 species